rnacentral:rRNA from 1 species
CACCACAGCCAUAUCACCCUGCAGCCCAAGACUGGUUGCCCACUGAAGCUAAGCAGGGUUGAGCCUGGUCAGUACCUGGAUGGGAGACUUCUUGGGAAAACUAGGUUGCUGUUGGAA